rnacentral:rRNA from 1 species
GACGAGCCACACGAACGUUAUUCGGAAUUACUGGGCUUAAAGGGUGCGUAGGCGGUGGCGGAAAGUUGGGUGUGAAAUCCCUCGGCUCAACCGAGGAACUGCGCCCAAAACUACCGCACUUGAGGAAGAUAGAGGUGAGCGGAACUCACGGUGGAGCGGUGAAAUGCGUUGAUAUCGUGAGGAACACCCGUGGCGAAAGCGGCUCACUGGGACGUGACUGACGCUGAGACGC